UUAUGUUUACCAAAGUUGUGGUUAAAGAGUUUAUAAUACUGUAGGACUGGAAAUAUUUCGUAUUUUAAAUAUUCAUACAGCCACGUUGAGCCUAUUGCUGUAGAAUAGUUUUGUAGUUUUAUUUUUCGUACAGUGUAUGAUGCUCUACAGUACGAAAUAUACGAACAUUUUCACCAUACAACCUCUACUUAUACGUCGAUUAUGCCUUGCUGCUUGCCUCGAUGGAAGUAUGUGUGGCCUUUAAAAGCUGUAGCUGGUCUAAACCUUCAAUUUGACCGGUAAAGGGACACAGUAGGACACACAAGAGAUGAGUUGUGUCUGGAGAAAGUAAUAUUAAACUUAGCAUCUUUAAAGGUGGUGUAGAUGGAAGCAGUAGCCAACAGACAAUGGCUGAACAGGAGAAUAA